CACCGCCCGUCACACCAUGGGAGUGGGUUGCUCCAGAAGUAGCUAGUCUAACCGCAAGGAGGACGGUUACCACGGAGUGAUUCAUGACUGGGGUGAAGUCGUAACAAGGUAGCCGUAGGGGAACCUGCGGAUU
rnacentral:ncRNA from 1 species